rnacentral:rRNA from 1 species
GAUUAACGCUAGCGGCAGGCCUAACACAUGCAAGUCGAGGGGCAGCAUUAGUACUUGUACUAGAUGGCGACCGGCGCACGGGUGCGUAACGCGUAUGCAACCUACCUAUCACUGGGGGAUAGCCCGGGGAAACCCGGAUUAAUACCGCAUGACACUGCGACACUUCAUGGUGAUGCAGUUAAAUUUUCGGAGGUGAUAGAUGGGCAUGCGUAUGAUUAGUUAGUUGGUGAGGUAACGGCUCACCAAGACUGUGAUCAUUAGCGGGUCUGAGAGGAUGAUCCGCCACACUGGUACUGAGACACGGACCAG